rnacentral:rRNA from 1 species
AGGACGAACGCUGGCGGCGUGCCUAAUACAUGCAAGUCGAACGGUCUUUCUAUGGAAGCUUGCCUCCACUGAGAAGAUAGUGGCGAACGGGUGAGUAACACGUGGGUAACCUGCCCAUAAGAGGGGGGAUAACAUCCGGAAACGGGUGCUAAUACCGCAUAGUUUUCUUGAUCGCACGAUUGAGAAAGGAAAGACGGCCUUUGUGCUGUCGCUUAUGGAUGGACCCGCGGCGUAUUAGUUAGUUGGUGAGGUAACGGCUCACCAAGACGAUGAUACGUAGCCGACCUGAGAGGGUGAUCGGCCACAUUGGGACUGAGACACGGCCCAAACUCCUACGGGAGGCAGCAGUAGGGAAUCUUCCGCAAUGGACGAAAGUCUGACGGAGCAACGCCGCGUGAGUGAAGAAAGGUUUUCGGAUCGUAAAACUCUGUUGUCAGAGAAGAACAAGUUGGAGAGUAACUGCUCCAGCCUUGACGGUAUCUGACCAGAAAGCCACGGCUAACUACGUGCCAGCAGCCGC